GAAUCGGAUGAUUUGAUAUUCUGUUCCUUAUAUCUAUAAAGAGAAAAUUGUUUCCACAGUGGAUUCUCUUGACUGAUGAUGUUCAGGACUUCUGAUAUGGAAUCCAUGUCCUAAUUUUGGGAUAUGAAGACAGCAACAACGAUGUAACAAACAUUUGAUCGGACACAUAAGAAAAACAACGGCAGUGCAUACCUCAAAAGAUGUGAAUUGGAAAACUUUAAAACAUUAACUUUCCAAGUGACAACAACUGGAAACUCCAUUUUUGAACUAGCAUUUGGCAACAAUUCCAUGAUGAUUUCCCGCGCUUUUUAUGUUUAGAUUCUCAUAGAAUAUACGUAUGGCAAGUUGCAAUUUUACAAUGUAGGAAAAUGUGAAUUUUUUGUUGCUCGAAAAACAUAGCCAAAUGCAUUGUAUCUUCUCAUAUGACCAUAAAAUCAAGAAAUGGUGCAUUCAAUGCUGUUAGGGAGGUGGGUGCAUGGAAAUUGAGCAUUCUUCAUGAAAUUAUGGAUGGUCAUUGCAGAGCACAGAGCACCCCAACCUGACAAAGAUUUUUAGUUUACAAAAUUGAUAAAGAAACUUGUUCAUGUUAAGUGGUAAUAUUAUUUGCAAACACUAUGACAUCAUGCAAUGACUUUUUACAAUUACAUUUCACUAUUUGAGAGUGUUUCA